rnacentral:rRNA from 1 species
UGGCUCGAGGACGAACGCUGGCGGCACGCUUAACACAUGCAAGUCGAACGGAGUAAUUGAGAGCUUGCUUUGAUUACUUAGUGGCGGACGGGUGAGUAACACGUGAGCAACCUGCCUUUGAGAGUGGAAUAGCUUCUGGAAACGGAUGGUAAUACCGCAUAACAUUACGGGGCCGCAUGACCCUGUAAUCAAAGAUUUAUCGCUCAAAGAUGGGCUCGCGUCUGAUUAGGUAGUUGGUGAGGUAACGGCUCACCAAGCCGACGAUCAGUAGCCGGACUGAGAGGUUGAACGGCCACAUUGGGACUGAGACACGGCCCAGACUCCUACGGGAGGCAGCAGGUGGGGAAUAUUGCACAAUGGGCGGAAGCCUGAUGCAAGCGAUGCCGCGUGGAGGAAGUAAGGUUUUCGGAUUGUAAACUCCUGAUCUGAGGGACGAUAAUGACGGUACCUCAGGAGAAAGCUCCGGCUAACUACGUGCCAGCAGCGGC